rnacentral:rRNA from 1 species
GAUGAACGCUGGCGGCGUGCCUAAUACAUGCAAGUCGAACGAAGAUCUAGCUUGCUAGAUCUUAGUGGCGAACGGGUGAGUAAUACAUAAAUAAUCUGCCCAUUGGACUGGGAUAACUAUUGGAAACGAUAGCUAAUACCGGAUAGGUGAUUUGAAGGCAUCUUCGAAUCAUUAAAGUAGGGACACUACACCAAUGGAUGAGUUUAUGGCGCAUUAGUUAGUUGGCGGGGUAACGGCCCACCAAGACGAUGAUGCGUAGCCGACCUGAGAGGGUGACCGGCCACACUGGGACUGGGACACGGCCCAGACUCCUACGGGAGGCAGCAGUAGGGAAUUUUCGGCAAUGGGCGCAAGCCUGACCGAGCAACGCCGCGCGAGUGAUUAAGGCCUUCGGGUUGUAAAGCUCUGUUGUAAGGGAAGAACAUUCAGGAUAGGAAAUGAUCUUGAACUGACGGUACCUUACCAGAAAGCCACGGCUAACUACGUGCCAGCAGCCGCCGCGGUAA